AACCAUGAUGAGGGCACCUUUUCAAGAUAUCCUUAAAUCUCUCUCAUGCAUCAUAUACUGUCUCAAGCUCAAUUUGGGCAAACGAAGAGAUGUCGCUCUUCAACUU
rfam:Gossypium raimondii Chr07_contig_345, whole genome shotgun sequence.